rnacentral:rRNA from 1 species
GAAAAGAACUUUGAAAAGAGAGUUAAAUAGUACGUGAAAUUGUUGAAAGGGAAACGAUUAAAGUCAGUCAUGUUGGUAGGGAAUCAACUUGUGAUAGUAUGCGAGUUUCUCGUGUCCUUUCCGGUGCACUUCCUUACUUGCAGGUUAGCAUCAAUUUCGGUUAUCAUAAAAUGACGGGAGGAAUGUAGCUUUAAUCUCGUAUUAAAGUGUUAUAGCCUCUGGUAGAUGUGAUGACUGGGAUUGAGGAUUGCAGCGAACCCUUCGGGCUACCUGUCUGGCCUCUGGUGGUCGCUCUGGAGCCGAAAGCUUUGCUUAUGGUUAUCAAAGUUGGUUGCCAAAAGGUUAGAACGGGUUAAAUUCGCCAAGGAUGCUGACGUAAUGGCUUUAAACGACCCGUCUU